CACCACUCAAGCCUGGCUUGGUAUUGGGCCCCCGGGGGGUGACCCGGACCCGAAUGUCGUCGGCUGGAAAGUCCCGAUCUCAGCGUUGUGACACAAGUUCGCUGGCGAGAGGGACGGUUCCGGGCCGUGAAACACUUUCAUCAAAGG
rnacentral:misc_RNA from 1 species